UAGCUCAGAGGUAGAGCAUGUGCUUAACAUACAUAAGGCCCUGGGUUCAAUUCCCUG
rnacentral:tRNA from 1 species